rnacentral:rRNA from 1 species
AUUGAACGCUGGCGGCAGGCCUAACACAUGCAAGUCGAGCGAGCGGCGCACGGGUGUGUAAUGUCUGGGAAACUGCCUGCUGGAGGGGGCUAACUUUUGGAAAAGCUAGCUAAUACCGCUACCCAUCAUAUGUCCACAGUUGGUCUUAGCUAGUAGGUGGGGUAACGGCUCACCUAGGCGACGAUCUCUAGCUGGUAUGAGAGGAUGACCAGCAACACUGGAACGGCGACACGGUCCAGAAUCCUACUGGAGGCAGCAGUGGGGAAUAUUGCACAAGGGGCAGAAGCCUGAUGCAGCCAUGGCGCGUGUGUGAAGAGGGCCUUCGGGUUGUAAAGCACUUUCAGCGGCGAGGCGUUACCCGCAGAAGAAGCACCGGCUAACUCCGUGCCAGCAGCCGCGGUAAUAC